rnacentral:rRNA from 1 species
GUGGGGAAUAUUGGACAAUGGGCGAAAGCCUGAUCCAGCCAUGCCGCGUGUGUGAAGAAGGUCUUCGGAUUGUAAAGCACUUUAAGUUGGGAGGAAGGGCAGUAAGUUAAUACCUUGCUGUUUUGACGUUACCGACAGAAUAAGCACCGGCUAACUUCGUGCCAGCAGCCGCGGUAAUACGAAGGGUGCAAGCGUUAAUCGGAAUUACUGGGCGUAAAGCGCGCGUAGGUGGUUUUGUAAGUUGGAGGUGAAAUCCCCGGGCUCAACCUGUGAACUGCCUCAAAAACUGCAUGACUAGAGUACGGUAGAGGGUAGUGGAAUUUCCUGUGUAGCGGUGAAAUGCGUAGAUAUAGGAAGGAACACCAGUGGCGAAGGCGACUACCUGGACUGAUACUGACACUGAGGUGCGAAAGCGUGGGGAGCAAACAGGAUUAGAAACCCCUGUAGUCC